rnacentral:rRNA from 1 species
UACAGAGGGUGCGAGCGUUAAUCGGAAUUACUGGGCGUAAAGCGCACGUAGUCGGCUUUGCAAGUCGGGUGUGAAAUCCGCGGGCUCAACCUGGGAACUGCAUCCGAGACUGCAUUGCUAGAGUAUGGGAGAGGGAAGCGGAAUUUCUGGUGUAGCAGUGAAAUGCGUAGAUAUCAGAAGGAACAUCAGUGGCGAAGGCGGCUUCCUGGACCAAUACUGACGAUCAGGUGCGAAAGCGUGGGGAGCAAACAGG